rnacentral:rRNA from 1 species
UACGUAGGGUCCGAGCGUUGUCCGGAAUUAUUGGGCGUAAAGAGCUCGUAGGCGGUUUGUCGCGUCUGCUGUGAAAUCCCGAGGCUCAACCUCGGGCCUGCAGUGGGUACGGGCAGACUGGAGUCCGGAAGAGGAGAAUGGAAUUCCUGGUGUAGCGGUGAAAUGCGCAGAUAUCAGGAAGAACACCCGUGGCGAAGGCGGUUCUCUGGGACGGUACUGACGCUGAGACGCGAAAGCGUGGGGAGCGAACAGG